UACGUAGGGGCAAGCGUUGUCCGGAUUUAUUGGGCGUAAAGAGCGUGUAGGCGGCCUGAAAGGUCAGCUGUGAAAACUCGAGGCUCAACCUCGAGACGUCGGUUGAAACCAUCUGGCUAGAGUCCGGAAGAGGAGUGUGGAAUUCCCGGUGUAGCGGUGAAAGUGCGCAGAUAUCGGGAAAGAACACCCGUGGCGAAGGCGGCACUCUGGGACGGUACUGACGCUGAGACGCGAAAGCGUGGGGAGCGAACAGG
rnacentral:rRNA from 1 species